rnacentral:rRNA from 1 species
CACGUAGGAGGCAAACGUUAUCCGGAUUUACUGGGCGUAAAGCGCGUGUAGGUGGUACUGUAAGUAGGGCGUGAAAGCUCCUGGCUCAACUGGGAGAGGCCGUUCUAAACUACAGAACUAGAGGAUGGUAGAGGGAGGUGGAAUUCCAGGUGUAGCGGUGGAAUGCGCAGAUAUCUGGAGGAACACCGGUGGCGAAGGCGGCCUCCUGGACCAUUCCUGACACUCAGACGCGAAAGCUAGGGUAGCAAACGGGAUUAGAUACCCACGUAGUCCCUGAG